UCCGUUAUGGUGCAACGGCUAACAUACCUCGCUUUCACCGAGGAGAUCGGGGUUCGAUUCCCCGUAACGGAA